GUCGAUGUCGCGACAGUACUAAGCAUACAAAUCUAUUUAAGGAAGAAUGUCGCAGCUCCACUUUCUUGUCGUCGUUCUUACGUUAUU
rnacentral:ribozyme from 1 species